rnacentral:rRNA from 1 species
UACAGAGGUCUCAAGCGUUGUUCGGAUUCAUUGGGCGUAAAGGGUGCGUAGGCGGCGUGGUAAGUCGGGUGUGAAAUCUCGGAGCUUAACUCCGAAACUGCAUUCGAUACUGCCGUGCUUGAGGACUGGAGAGGAGACUGGAAUUUACGGUGUAGCGGUGAAAUGCGUAGAUAUCGUAAGGAAGACCAGUGGCGAAGGCGGGUCUCUGGACAGUUCCUGACGCUGAGGCACGAAGGCCAGGGGGAGCAAAACGGG